CCUACGGGUGGCAGCAGUGGGGAAUCUUGCGCAAUGGGCGAAAGCCUGACGCAGCAACGCCGCGUGAGGGAUGAAGGCUCUCGGGUUGUAAACCUCUUUCAGCAGGAACGAAAUUGACGGUACCUGCAGAAGAAGCUCCGGCCAACUACGUGCCAGCAGCCGCGGUAAUACGUAGGGAGCAAGCGUUGUCCGGAUUUAUUGGGCGUAAAGAGCUCGUAGGCGGCUUAGAAAGUCAGAUGUGAAAACUCCAGGCUCAACCUGGAGACGCCAUUUGAUACUUCUAUGGCUUGAGUUCGGUAGGGGACCAUGGAAUUCCUGGUGUAGCGGUGAAAUGCGCAGAUAUCAGGAGGAACACCGAUGGCGAAGGCAGUGGUCUGGGCCGAUACUGACGCUGAGGAGCGAAAGCGUGGGGAGCGAACAGGAUUAGAUACCCUGGUAGU
rnacentral:rRNA from 1 species